UACGUAGGGGGCGAGCGUUGUCCGGAUUCAUUGGGCGUAAAGAGCUCGUAGGCGGCUUGGCAAGUCGGGUGUGAAAACUCGAGGCUCAACCUCGAGACGCCGGUGGAAACCAUCAGGCUAGAGUCCGGAAGAGGAGAGUGGAAUUCCUGGUGUAGCGGUGAAAUGCGCAGAUAUCAGGAAGAACACCCGUGGCUAAGGCGGCUCUCUAGUACGGUACUGACGCUGAGGAGCGAAAGCGUGGGGAGCGAACAGG
rnacentral:rRNA from 1 species